AUAAAAAAAAUAUUUAAAAUAAAAAAAUUAAAAAUUUAAAAAAUUU
rnacentral:rRNA from 12 species